AUACGGAGGGUCCAAGCGUUAUCCGGAAUCAUUGGGUUUAAAGGGUUCGCAGGCGGUCAAUUAAGUCAGAGGUGAAAGCCCAUCGCUCAACGAUGGAACUGCCUUUGAUACUGGUUGACUUGAGUUAUACGGAAGUAGAUAGAAUAAGUAGUGUAGCGGUGAAAUGCAUAGAUAUUACUUAGAAUACCGAUUGCGAAGGCAGUCUACUACGUAUAUACUGACGCUGAGGGACGAAAGCGUGGGGAGCGAACAGGAUUAGAAACCCUGGUAGUCC
rnacentral:rRNA from 1 species